GCCAAAACUCAUUCUCAGGGAUACCUUGGCCUGGGCAUCCAACCGAGUCUGCCAAGGCUGUUAAAGAAAAGUUCAUAUAUGCAUAAAACACAUUUUUACGUUUAAAAGCAUAGUCGUUCCUUGGCGUUGGCUAAGUUCACCCUCACGUGGUGGUUUAGCGUGUAGUGAACUCUAAAGCUUUACCUUAGGAGAUACCCUCCACGCCUCUCGUACCGAGGUAAAAUAUAA
rnacentral:lncRNA from 1 species